GUAGUAGUUUACCUUGUGAAAGGUCGUACUGUUUCACUGAGUAAGCAAGUGUGCUCGAUGCAAGAUGAAAAUACAAUUUCAACGUCUGCUUUAUACGAUUUUUAUUUUAAUUUUUUUGAACGUUGCUACUGCAGAACGACCACCAAAUAGGAAAACAGGACAAAUUGCAACUGUUCCAGUGAACUGUGAAAAGGAUGAGGUGUACAUAAGAGGAAAAUGUCGUCCCAAAGUUUAAUAAAGCCAAGAUUAUUGGGAUUGGAUCAUCAACUGUGUGUCUAAAUCAAUGGAAUCGUAUACUAAAACUAUACUAUCAUAUCUUAAUAAAGUGAUUUAAAAAACUA